UGAGAUAAUAGUGCAAGCUGAGGCCAGGA
rnacentral:piRNA from 1 species